rnacentral:rRNA from 1 species
GACGAACGCUGGCGGCGUGCUUAACACAUGCAAGUCGAGCGGUAAGGCCCUUUCGGGGGUACACGAGCGGCGAACGGGUGAGUAACACGUGGGUGACCUGCCCUCAGCUCUGGGAUAAGCCUGGGAAACUGGGUCUAAUACUGGAUAUGACUCCACGGUGCAUGUCGUGGGGUGGAAAGCCUUGUGCGGCUGAGGAUGGGCCCGCGGCCUAUCAGCUUGUUAGUGGGGUGAUGGCCUACCAAGGCGACGACGGGUAGCCGGCCUGAGAGGGCGACCGGCCACACUGGGACUGAGACACGGCCCAGACUCCUACGGGAGGCAGCAGUGGGGAAUCUUGCGCAAUGGGCGAAAGCCUGACGCAGCGACGCCGCGUGAGGGAUGACGGCCU